rnacentral:rRNA from 1 species
GACGUAGGAGGCGAGCGUUAUCCGGAUUCACUGGGCGUAAAGCGCAUGUAGGCGGAUGUCUAAGUCGUGUGUUAAAGCCCCUGGCUCAACUGGGGGAGGUCAUGCGAGACUGGAUGACUUGAGGGCAACAGAGGCACGUGGAACUCCCGGUGUAGCGGUGGAAUGCGUAGAUAUCUGGAGGAACACCGGUGGCGAAGGCGGCAUUCUGGACUGCAACUGACGCUGAACGACGAAAGCCAGGGGAGCAAACGGG